AUGGGUUUUCCUUACACACUGAGUUUCCCCAAACUCACCCGUUUUAUUUUCAUCCACUCAAGAAAUCCCCAACCAUAGUGGGCUUGGAGCUGUGAGGGAAUUCGGAGUGGCCACCCGUUCUGAAAGUUUGGUUUUCUUCUGGUGAACUGGACAUCCUAUUAUUUACGUUGAGGUUAAUAGGUAUUCAGAGUGUCGGUUCAACAUCCAGGUGAUCUUGACUCCGCGCAAAACUCGGUGAUGUAUUCUUCUUUUGGAAAAAGUGGCAUGUAUAUAAGUGUUAAUUUGGUCACCUUAAAAUGCUAUACAAUUUUUAUUGUAAAAAAUGGUAUUUGGUAUUUUGGUGUUUAAACUAAUGAAAUGGUAUGAAAAUUUACAUGAUAUGCAUGGUAUAA